UUCGCAAUGCCCGAAAGGGUGACGAAGCCCCUUCGCGUGGGUGAGGAAGGCCUUCGGGUUGUAAAGCCCUGUCAGGAGUUAAGAAAUAUAAGUGCGCUAAUAUCGCAUUUAUUUGACGAAGGCUCCAAAGGAAGCCACGGCUAACUCUGUGCCAGCAGCCGCGGUAAUACAGAGGUGGCAAGCGUUGUUCGGAAUUAUUGGGCGUAAAGAGCACGUAGGUGGGUUUGUAAGUCAGAUGUGAAAGCCUUCUGUUCAACGGAAGAAUUGCAUCUGAAACUGCAAAUCUUGAGUGUAGGAGGGGAGAAUGGAACUUCUGGUGGAGCGGUGAAAUGCGUAGAUAUCAGAAGGAACGCCGGCGGCGAAAGCGAUUCUCUGGCCUAUUACUGACACUCAGUGUGCGAAAGCUAGGGGAGCAAACGGGAUUAGAUACCCCGGUAGUCCUAGCUGUAAACGAUGGGCACUAAGUAGAGGGGUUUU
rnacentral:rRNA from 1 species